UGGACCAAUGAUGAUGAUAGGUGGAGUAUGAGUCUUGCACUGUGAAUACUGUGUCUGGAAGUCUGAGGUCCAA
ensembl:snoRNA